rnacentral:rRNA from 1 species
AACGAACGCUGGCGGCAUGCCUAACACAUGCAAGUCGAACGAGACCUUCGGGUCUAGUGGCGCACGGGUGCGUAACGCGUGGGAAUCUGCCCCUCGGUUCGGAAUAACAGUUAGAAAUGACUGCUAAUACCGGAUGAUGACUUCGGCCCAAAGAUUUAUCGCCGAGGGAUGAGCCCGCGUAAGAUUAGGUAGUUGGUGGGGUAAAGGCCUACCAAGCCGACGAUCUUUAGCUGGUCUGAGAGGAUGAUCAGCCACACUGGGAUUGAGACACGGCCCAGACUCCUACGGGAGGCAGCAGUGGGGAAUAUUGGACAAUGGGCGAAAGCCUGAUCCAGCAAUGCCGCGUGAGUGAUGAAGGCCUUAGGGUUGUAAAGCUCUUUUACCAGGGAUGAUAAUGACAGUACCUGGAGAAUAAGCUCCGGCUAACUCCGUGCCAGCAGCCGCCGUAA